UUGGUAUAUAUACCGUUAGGGUUAUUAUUAUUAUUACUUUACAUAUGUGCCAAAUCGUGCCAAGUAGAUACAGCAGCAUUGUUUGAUUGUGUUGGUGUAGAUAUGCAUAUAGAGAGAGAUCCGUGAGUGUCCGACGAGAAGGGAAAAGGGAGCAUACACAACAACAACAACAAUAUGUACAACUACUACGUGGGUGCAUCAUCGCCACACCGUCGUGCAUGCGCGUGUCCCAUAAUAUCCACAUACCCGCGGAGCCAUCAUAUGCUGCUGCAUAUGUGUACUACUACUAAUUAUAAAGUAGUAUCACGUACAGUACGACAUGUACAACAACAACCCAACAGACAGACCAACAACAUACAUCGCAAGUGCAGUGCGCGGAUAUACAUACAUACAUACAUACAUACACACACCCACAGUCUAAGAAUUUAAUAAAAACUCUCCCACAGUCUCCCUCGACAGUCAUCCGACAGUCAUCCGCUCAGUCUCGCCGUCUGUAUCUGUAUCUGCUGUCCCCAUCGCCAUCGUCUCCCUGUGCCUGUCCCUCCCUCCACAUAUGUAUGUUCUCUAGGUAUAUAAUAUCCUUGUACGACAGAGUGUGCACGUGUGCCGUCAUCAACGUACAUAAGGUACAGCAUACGUGUCUGCACCACAUAUAUACAUAUGUACGUGUGCACAUCUCCGAGCAGCCCUGUGCAUGGUCUCCGCUUGAUAAUAGAUGAGGUUGUUAUCAUCACCUAGUUCAUACGGCAGGCGGCUGGCAGAAGUUAAGGCCUGACUUCUGCUCCCAGUCGAUCCAGUCGACCCGGGUUCAAAUCCGCCUGCCAGCUCCUCGGGUGUUUGAGGAGUGAUGAAAUGGGAGGUGGCCCCCCAUCAUAUGGACGGUGUAGGACGUGAUAAUAUCAACUUGCGAGCUGACCAGGAACUAAGUUGAUGCGCCGUUGAUCCGCUAGAUUUGGUUGGAUGCUGGUGGUGAGUUGCCGAACCCAACGAAUACAUUCUGAAGUCGGAUGGGGUGACGGAUUAGGGUGCCCCUCUAGCAGGGGAGAGCAGGGACUGCCCCAGGAAAGGGGGCCGCUGGCGAAGUUAACCACCCUGUAACAACAUACAUACAUACAAAAUGCAUACAUACCCUGCUCUGUGAAGAUGACAAAACAGAGGUAUAGGUACUACUACUACUACUACUACUACUACUACUACUACUACUACUACUACUACUACUACUACUACUACUACUACUACUACUACUACUACUACCACUACUAUCUGGAUUCAUUUGCUUGGGUGGCUGGCAAUAAUAAUUAUAUAUUUUAAAGUUACUCUGCUGCGGCCGCCAUAUGUAUUAUAUAGCAUCAUGGAGGGAUGUUUAUAGCUUCAUUCAGGGUUCAUUACUAUCAUUGC
rnacentral:lncRNA from 1 species